rnacentral:rRNA from 1 species
AGGACGAACGCUGGCGGCGCGCUUAAUACAUGCAAGUCGAGCGAGAACCAGGCCUUCGGGCCUGGGGAAAGCGGCGAACGGGUGAGUAACACGUGAGUAACCUGCCCCUAGCUCUGGGAUAGCUCCGGGAAACCGGGAUUAAUACCAGAUACGACCACUUUAGACAUCUGUCGUGGUGGAAAGGAUUCCGGCUAGGGAUGGGCUCGCGGCCUAUCAGCUUGUUGGUGGGUAACGGCCUACCAAGGCGACGACGGGUAGCCGGCCUGAGAGGGCGACCGGCCACACUGGGACUGAGACACGGCCCAGACUCCUACGGGAGGCAGCAGUGGGGAAUAUUGCGCAAUGGGCGAAAGCCUGACGCAGCGACGCCGCGUGGGGAUGAAGGCCUUCGGGUUGUAAGCUCUUUCGCUAGGACGAUAAUGACGGUACCUAGACAAGAAGCCCGGCUAACUUCGCGCCAGCAGCCGC